GUUUUGAAAGAAGAAAAGGAGUAAUGGUGCUCGUUGGCGGGGCAGCCGCAGAUCACAAACUCGGCGAGGCUUUGAGAUAUGCGACGAGGGCCUCAUGGCGAUGGGGAUGAGUGGCGCGGAUGGAUUCGACGUGGGCUGCCAUGUCGCGCGCCUCAAGACCGGAGAGAGCCAAGAGCGCCGUCUCGAUCGAGCACAUGGCAAGAGCGAGCCGGCGCGCCUUGUCGGUCCAUGGGCAAUGGCCGCACUCGAUCAGAGCACGAAUGACGGUCUCGGACGGUUCGGUCCUCGUGGCGUUUUGGGCGCGCGUGUGUGCCAUGGCGCAGAGGGCACGACAGAGCGCGCUGCGUCUCGGCUUCCACCCAUCGGCCAGGGCGCGGAAAAAGAAAGGCUCAUGAGCGCGGGUAUGAUCGAUGGCAUCGGUGAGCGCAUGUACGACAAGGUUGCGCGGCGACUUGCGUAGGCUAUGGGAUGAAAGGUUUGACCAUGGCCAUUCGCAGCCCAGGUCAAUCAUCCACGCGACGACGUUGCAGAGGUCGCGAUCGAUGGCGCGGCCAACGGUGGGGGGCGCCAGCCACGAGACCACGCGAACCGAGCCGAAUCGGUCGACGAGCGCCACGAGAAAAGGAAGCACCUCACGUUUGGGCAUGUAACGCACGGCGCAGUCGCACACAAUCGCCCUCGCGUGCCGAUUUUCGAUCGGGAGCGCGCUCAUGAUGCGGUCCAGCGUAGGGCGGCGUCCAUGAGCCGCAACGAUCGAGAUGAUCUUGCGCGCGUGCGCGUCCAGGCGAUGACCCCAACGACUGACCAACCAACCGACGUCGCCUGCCAUCACGGCACCAACGGUAGCGGCCAUGGGCGUCCCCGCAUCGGUAAGCCACCGCACGACUGCAGCAUGGCCUUUCAUGGCGGCGGCAUACACACACGCUGUCGGAAACCGAAAGGCGUGUUUGCGCACCAACCAUUCAAGCACAGAGAGGUGCCCGGCGCGCGCCGCCGAUACGGCGAUACCGCCGAGGUCGAGAUCGCUGCACAAGGGCGGCAUAGCCAGACGUUGCAAAAGCGCAGUGUCCCCCGACGCCGCGAUAGCGUCGACGUCCGUUUGAGACAUAACGAGAUCGUCGGCGGCGCCCUCGUCGAGCGCUCCUGCAUACCCCCUGGCGAGGGCUUUGGUGCGCGUGUACACGGUCCACCGGGCACCGUGACCGCGCAGCCACGGCACGAGGUCCGCUCUACAAAGGCGUACGGCCUCGACGCAGGCCCACCCGUCGGCCGGCCCCAGGGGACAGUGCCAGUGGGCGCUCUCGUUAACGAGCCACCGCGCAACAGUCUCGCGUCCGUCGCAGCACGCACCGACAAUGUCGAUCCACGUCGGUCGUUCGUAACGGUGCCCUCUGGAGCGCCAGCGACACCUGCCCAGGUGUCGCCACCGGCGACACACGCGCCCUACUAUGGCGCGAUCUAUGACAUCGCCAUGCGAAAAGAAAACCAAAUCGAGCACUUCGGCAGGUAGAACCGCUAUGGUCGCCCUUGCUUCCAUGGUCCUUUCUGUCGUGUUUGACCAGACAACAAAAUAACUGGAAAAAAGUCUUGGAAAGGCAAACCGUCUCGCGACCAACGGACUCCGUGUGCCGGUGGGCGACGGGUGCAAAUGUGGUUGUGGGCCAACUACCUCCGCGCCAACGACACUUUUCUCUUUGUUCCCCCUUUAUCCUGAUAUGAUUCGUGCAUUUUUUUCAAAGCGCGAUGAGCGGUAUAUUGCCGACUCCUCUGCCCAAUAAACUUUUUUC
rnacentral:lncRNA from 1 species